GACGAACGCUGGCGGCGUGCUUAACACAUGCAAGUCGAGCGGUAAGGCUCCUUCGGGAGUACACGAGCGGCGAACGGGUGAGUAACACGUGAGUAACCUGCCCCAAUCAUCGGGAUAACCAUUGGAAACGAUGGCUAAUACCGAAUACGACCACCGAAGGCAUCUUCUGGUGGUGGAAAGCUCCGGCGGAUUGGGAUGGACUCGCGGCCUAUCAGCUUGUUGGUGAGGUAAUGGCUCACCAAGGCAACGACGGGUAGCCGGCCUGAGAGGGUGACCGGCCACACUGGGGACUGAGACACGGCCCAGACUCCUACGGGAGGCAGCAGUGAGGAAUAUUGGUCAAUGGGCGCAAGCCUGAACCAGCCAUCCCGCGUGCAGGAAGACGGCCCUAUGGGUUGUAAACUGCUUUUCCAGGGAGAGAAACUUACGCACGUGUUGCGUGACUGACGGUACCCUGGGAAUAAGCAUCGGCUAACUCCGUGCCAGCAGCCGCGGUAAU
rnacentral:rRNA from 1 species